ACGGCCGUGAACUUCUUGGAGGAAAGGAAGAGAUUUGAUUUUUUCCGGUUCUUGCCUGAUCGUCGCUCUGUUCGUUGCUACGCGUAGGCCUCAAGGCGAUGGUGAGCCUUCCGCUGAAGCUUAGCUGUUCGAGUCGGAGACCGUGAUCGUGGGCGGUCGAGUAGAGGUGGAUGAAGCAGUUGCUUCUCCCUUUUUGGUGGACUAUGUUUGAGUUUCUUUUUCCUUAUGAAAACUCUGUUGUUUAAACCUUAUUUCGCCACUGUUAAAGUGUGCGUACUUAUUUUGGAAACUUGUUCAUGAUGAUGUAAGACACUAUUAUUAUUAUGUCGGGAACGGGUUGUUGAAUAAAGUCUAUGUUAUAUAUUCAA